GUCCGCUCGCUGGAUGGCCAGAGCUGUGUGGAUGUGGACGAGUGCGCCUUCGAGGAGCGUUGCCGCCGCGAGCUGGGGAACCAGUGCAUCAACGUGCCGGGCAGCUACAACUGCAGCUGCCAGCCCGGAUUCCAGCCGCAGGGAGCGGCCUGUCUGGACAUUGAUGAGUGCUCGGAGGAUGCAGCGGUGUGUGCCCAGGGCCAGUGUGUGAACACACUGGGGAGUUACCAGUGUGGCUGUCCCCCCGGCUUCCGUGGCAACGGGACCGACUGUGAAG